UGGGGAAUCUUCCGCAAUGGACGAAAGUCUGAUCUAGCAACACCGCGUGUGCGAAGAAGGCCUUCGGGUCGUAAAGCACUUUUCGGAAGGAAUAGGAAGGAAUGUACUUCCAGAAUAAGUCUCGGCUAACUACGUGCCAGCAGCCGCGGUAACACGUAGGAGGCGAACGUUAUCCGGAUUUACUGGGCGUAAAGCGCGUGUAGGUGGUUCUGUAAGUAGGGCGUGAAAGCUCCUGGCUCAACUGGGAGAGGCCGUUCUAAACUACAGAACUAGAGGAUGGUAGAGGGAGGUGGAAGUCCAGGUGUAGCGGUGGAAUGCGCAGAUAUCUGGAGGAACACCAGUGGCGAAGGCGGCCUCCUGGACCAUUCCUGACAGUCAGACGCGAAAACUAUGGUAGCAACCG
rnacentral:rRNA from 1 species